rnacentral:rRNA from 1 species
CAGCCGCCGCGGGAAUACGAAGGGUGCAAGCGUUACUCGGAAUUACUGGGCGUAAAGCGUGCGUAGGUGGUUGUUUAAGUCUGCUGUGAAAGCCCUGGGCUCAACCUGGGAAUUGCAGUGGAUACUGGGCAACUAGAGUAAGGUAGAGGAUAGUGGAAUUUCCGGUGUAGCAGUGAAAUGCGUAGAGAUCGGAAGGAACAUCUGUGGCGAAGGCGACUAUCUGGGCCAUUACUGACACUGAGGCACGAAAGCGUGGGGAGCAAACAGGAUUAGAUACCCCAGUAGUCCCUGUCUCUUAUAC